AUUAGCUUAAUUAAUUCCAUUCGUUCUGCAAGAUAUUAAUUGCUUUGCAAAUUUGUCUCAGAUACAGAGGACCUUGAAGAGCUGUUCAGGCCGAGGAGUACAGAUCCACGGCAAAAUACCAGAUCAGACAAUUAUCAGAGAAAGGUUCUGAUUAAGACAGUAGUGAGACCAGCUGUGAUGUAUGGAUUGGAGACCGUACCCUUAACGAAGAGACAGGAGGCAAAGUUGGAGGUGGCGGAGUUGAGGAUGUUAAGGUUUGCGACGGGAGUGACGAGGUUGGACAGGAUAAGGAACGAGCACAUCAGAGGGACAGCACAUGUGGAGAGCUUGGGAAUUAAGCUAAGAGAGAUGAGACUAAGAUGGUAUGGGCACAUCCUGAGAAGAGAUGCAGAGCAUGUGGGAAGGAGAAUGCUGAGGAUGGAGCUGCCAGGCAAACGAAAACAAGGAAGGCCAAAGAGGAGAUACAUGGAUGUGAUGAGAGAGGACAUGAAAGUGGCAGGUGUGGUAGAGAAGGAUGCGGAAGAUAGGGAGCAAUGGAGAUGAAAGAUCUGCUGUGGCGACCCCUAAUCGGGAGCAGCCAAAAGAAGAAGAAGAAUCAGAGAAAGGUUCUGAUGUGCCUAGAUGAAAUUGUGCAGAAUUAUCUGUAGGCUCGCGCUGCUGUGGCUGCAGCAACUAAGGAGACAACGACUGUACCAACCCACCAUUCAUCUGAUUCGGGAACCAGAGACAGCUGUUAGCUCUUUCACUGCUAGAAUUUCUAGGAUUGAAUACUGGUUCACCAUUAAAUAUUUUCUAGAGCCAGAACAAAAAUAAUGGUUGGCAUGUGUGUAAAUAUUGCAGUCAGUCUCUGUAGGUUUUUAUGCCAUUUUAGUGUAAUGUAAUAUCUGACCAGCGGCCAUCAUAAAAGUGCAGAAUAAUACCUUUAAGUUCCUUUGCAUAUUCAUGAUUACAUUUGAUUCAGGUAAUGCAUGUAUUAAUCUUCUAUUUCAUCCUGUGAAA